CCCAGGGCACACACAGGACCACAGCACACCCGCAGGUUCUCCACCAAGUUCUGUAUAUGCAGGCCCCCAGCCGGGUAAGGAAGUGGAAUCCCAGGAUUAGAGACAGACCUGGAGGGAGUCUGGGCAUGGUCCACAUUGUACGAGGAAAUGAUUCCAUAUAGGAGCAGAGAGAUGCAAAAAUGCAUGAUGAGCAACAGAAACAGAACAUACGCACACUCAGCCCUUACUGGAAUGACCUUCAUAGCCUAACGCAACAGAAUCAGAUCUCUGAACUCUUCUCAGCCAUUCUGACAUCAGCCAGUGGGCUCCGGCCAUCCUGAGGCAUCAGAGGAUGUUUGGAAAGGCCAGGCUGCGGUGCAGGAGAUGAAAAAGGCUAAAGCAGAUGAAAGAGAGAACCAGAAGAGAGAGUUGGCUGGCUGACCCACUGCAUAUUUGGGGGAUUCCAGCUCCACCUAGCCAGAGACUGGGGGCUAGACACUACGUUUCCAGAGAGUUCCACAUACCACCCAGCAUCCGCCAAGCUGACGCAACGACUUGGAAGAUGAAGUAAGCAACAAGAGACUGGCCACUCGGCAGGACACGGCAUCUUCCAGAAGUCUGAUUGCAGAAGCAAUUGACUCUUCUCAGUAGCUGAAAUGGGAUUUUGAGAGCCUGGUGUCAUAGGUGUCAAGCAGGGGAUGGCGGCGGCUGUGGUAUUUUACUAGAGCAGUCCUGUGUGUUCUUGGGCAAUCCUGGCUGUGUGGCAGCCAAGAUCAUUUGCUGGUUUCCCGGGAGAUCCUGUAAGCAAACAAAUAUGAUUUUAAAAUCCCCUUUCUGAUUAAACUAACACGUACAGAGUUUGUCGUCUCCUGGUAAGAACUCUGUCCAACACAGGUGGCAAGCCCAGGGCAUGAAGAGUUACUGGAUAUGAAAAUACUUCAAAAAUAUUGUCCCCUUUAAACAUGUUCUCUGAAUGCAAGCCAAGUGAAUUUAUAAG